rnacentral:rRNA from 1 species
AAACCGUUCAGGGGUAAACCUAAGAAACCCAAAAGAUCGAACGGGGAGAUUCAUCGUCAGCGACGCUGGCUUCGCGUCGGUGGGCGAUGUCCCGCGGAGCCUCGCGGCUCGCGCGCGGACACGCUGCCGUGCGUCGAUGCCCGGCGUUCGUCGUCGUGCACUUCUCCCCUAGUAGAACGUCGCGACCCGCUGGGUGUCGGUCUACGGCCCGGGUGCGGUGACUGACGCGUCGCCGGUAAAACGGCACGCGUCAAACCCCCGGUCGCCCGGCCGGCUGCCCGGCGGUACACGCAAGGUAUCAGGCCGCACCUAACUCUACGAGUGCGUCGAGGCCGUCGCAAGCGCGCGCCACGGUACAAGAGGAGGCUAACGGACCUAGUGCCGUCCCCGGUCCUGGCCCGCUGUUGGUCGUACGGUUAACCUUCGACAGGCCUACGAACGUUCCCCGGGUAAUCCGGGGGACCGAUACCGGUCGGCGACGCUACUGCUUUGGGUACUCUUAGGA